rnacentral:rRNA from 1 species
AUUGAACGCUGGCGGCAGGCCUAACACAUGCAAGUCGAGCGAGCGGCGGACGGGUGAGUAAUGUAUGGGGAUCUGCCUGAUGGAGGGGGAUAACUACUGGAAACGGUAGCUAAUACCGCAUACCAUCAGAUCAACCCAUAUGGGAUUAGCUUGUAGGUAGGGUAACGGCUUACUUAGGCGACGAUCCCUAGCUGGUCUGCGAGGUUGAUCGGCCAAACUGGGACUGAGACACGGCCCAGACUCCUACGGGAGGCAGCAGUGGGGAAUAUUGCACAAUGGGCGCAAGCCUGAUGCAGCCAUGCCGCGUGUAUGAAGAAGGCCUUCGGGUUGUAAAGUACUUUCAGUCGGGAGGCGUUACCGACAGAAGAAGCACCGGCUAACUCCGUGCCAGCAGCCGCGGUAAUAC